rnacentral:rRNA from 1 species
GGGUUGUGAGGUUAAGCGACUAAGCGUACACGGUGGAUGCCCUGGCAGUCAGAGGCGAUGAAGGGCGUACUAAUCUGCGAUAAGCGCCGGUAAGGUGAUAUGAACCGUUAUAACCGGCGAUACCCGAAUGGGGAAACCCAGUGUGAUUCGUCACACUAUCAUUAACUGAAUCCAUAGGUUAAUGAGGCGAACCGGGGGAACUGAAACAUCUAAGUACCCCGAGGAAAAGAAAUCAACCGAGAUUCCCCCAGUAGCGGCGAGCGAACGGGGAGGAGCCCAGAGCCUGAAUCAGCAUGUGUGUUAGUGGAAGCGUCUGGAAAGGCGCGCGAUACAGGGUGACAGCCCCGUACACAAAAGCGCAUGUGCUGUGAGCUCGAUGAGUAGGGCGGGACACGUGGUAUCCUGUCUGAAUAUGGGGGGACCAUCCUCCAAGGCUAAAUACUCCUGACUGACCGAUAGUGAACCAGUACCGUGAGGGAAAGGCGAAAAGAACCCCGGCGAGGGGAGUGAAAAAGAACCUGAAACCGUGUACGUACAAGCAGUGGGAGNNNNNNNNNNNNNGUGUGACUGCGUACCUUUUGUAUAAUGGGUCAGCGACUUAUAUUCUGUAGCAAGGUUAACCGAAUAGGGGAGCCGGAGGGAAACCGAGUCUUAAUUGGGCGUUAAGUUGCAGGGUAUAGACCCGAAACCCGGUGAUCUAGCCAUGGGCAGGUUGAAGGUUGGGUAACACUAACUGGAGGACCGAACCGACUAAUGUUGAAAAAUUAGCGGAUGACCUGUGGCUGGGGGUGAAAGGCCAAUCAAACCGGGAGAUAGCUGGUUCUCCCCGAAAGCUAUUUAGGUAGCGCCUCGUGAAUUCAUCUCCGGGGGUAGAGCACUGUUUCGGCUAGGGGGCCAUCCCGGCUUACCAACCCGAUGCAAACUGCGAAUACCGGAGAAUGUUAUCACGGGAGACACACGGCGGGUGCUAACGUCCGUCGUGAAGAGGGAAACAACCCAGACCGCCAGCUAAGGUCCCAAAGUCAUGGUUAAGUGGGAAACGAUGUGGGAAGGCCCAGACAGCCAGGAUGUUGGCUUAGAAGCAGCCAUCAUUUAAAGAAAGCGUAAUAGCUCACUGGUCGAGUCGGCCUGCGCGGAAGAUGUAACGGGGCUAAACCAUGCACCGAAGCUGCGGCAGCGACGCUUAUGCGUUGUUGGGUAGGGGAGCGUUCUGUAAGCCUGCGAAGGUGGCCUGUGAGGGUUGCUGGAGGUAUCAGAAGUGCGAAUGCUGACAUAAGUAACGAUAAAGCGGGUGAAAAGCCCGCUCGCCGGAAGACCAAGGGUUCCUGUCCAACGUUAAUCGGGGCAGGGUGAGUCGACCCCUAAGGCGAGGCCGAAAGGCGUAGUCGAUGGGAAACGGGUUAAUAUUCCCGUACUUGGUGUUACUGCGAAGGGGGGACGGAGAAGGCUAUGUUGGCCGGGCGACGGUUGUCCCGGUUUAAGCGUGUAGGUGUGUGUUCCAGGUAAAUCCGGUUCACUUUAACACUGAGGCGUGACGACGAGGCACUACGGUGCUGAAGCAACAAAUGCCCUGCUUCCAGGAAAAGCCUCUAAGCAUCAGGUAACAUCAAAUCGUACCCCAAACCGACACAGGUGGUCAGGUAGAGAAUACCAAGGCGCUUGAGAGAACUCGGGUGAAGGAACUAGGCAAAAUGGUGCCGUAACUUCGGGAGAAGGCACGCUGACACGUAGGUGAAGUGAUUUACUCAUGGAGCUGAAGUCAGUCGAAGAUACCAGCUGGCUGCAACUGUUUAUUAAAAACACAGCACUGUGCAAACACGAAAGUGGACGUAUACGGUGUGACGCCUGCCCGGUGCCGGAAGGUUAAUUGAUGGGGUCAGCGCAAGCGAAGCUCCUGAUCGAAGCCCCGGUAAACGGCGGCCGUAACUAUAACGGUCCUAAGGUAGCGAAAUUCCUUGUCGGGUAAGUUCCGACCUGCACGAAUGGCGUAAUGAUGGCCAGGCUGUCUCCACCCGAGACUCAGUGAAAUUGAACUCGCUGUGAAGAUGCAGUGUACCCGCGGCAAGACGGAAAGACCCCGUGAACCUUUACUAUAGCUUGACACUGAACAUUGAGCCUUGAUGUGUAGGAUAGGUGGGAGGCUUUGAAGUGUGGACGCCAGUCUGCAUGGAGCCGACCUUGAAAUACCACCCUUUAAUGUUUGAUGUUCUAACGUGGACCCGUUACCCGGGUUGCGGACAGUGUCUGGUGGGUAGUUUGACUGGGGCGGUCUCCUCCUAAAGAGUAACGGAGGAGCACGAAGGUUGGCUAAUCCUGGUCGGACAUCAGGAGGUUAGUGCAAUGGCAUAAGCCAGCUUGACUGCGAGCGUGACGGCGCGAGCAGGUGCGAAAGCAGGUCAUAGUGAUCCGGUGGUUCUGAAUGGAAGGGCCAUCGCUCAACGGAUAAAAGGUACUCCGGGGAUAACAGGCUGAUACCGCCCAAGAGUUCAUAUCGACGGCGGUGUUUGGCACCUCGAUGUCGGCUCAUCACAUCUGGGGCUGAAGUAGGUCCCAAGGGUAUGGCUGUUCGCCAUUUAAAGUGGUACGCGAGCUGGGUUUAGAACGUCGUGAGACAGUUCGGUCCCUAUCUGCCGUGGGCGCUGGAGAACUGAGGGGGGCUGCUCCUAGUACGAGAGGACCGGAGUGGACGCAUCACUGGUGUUCGGGUUGUCAUGCCAAUGGCACUGCCCGGUAGCUAAAUGCGGAAGAGAUAAGUGCUGAAAGCAUCUAAGCACGAAACUUGCCCCGAGAUGAGUUCUCCCUGAGACUUAAAGUCUCCUGAAGGAACGUUGAAGACGACGACGUUGAUAGGCCGGGUGUGUAAGCGCAGCGAUGCGUUGAGCUAACCGGUACUAAUGAACCGUGAGGCUUAACCUUACAACGCCGAAG